UCAUCAUCUUAGCCUUUUGGCUAAGAUCAAGUGCAGUAUCUGUUCUUAUCAGUAUAAAAGCACAGCAUAGCACUAAAUACAGUCAAGUGAAUUUAGAAUCUUUUUUGCUUUUUGGCCUGGGAAAUGAAUUAUCUUCGAACUAUCAUUCAAGAUUAAAUAAGUGUUUACUUUGAAAAGAAAAACACAAAAACC
rnacentral:snRNA from 1 species